rnacentral:rRNA from 1 species
UACAGAGGGUGCGAACGUUAAUCGGAAUUACUGGGCGUAAAGCGCGCGUAGGCGGCUUUGCAAGUCGGGUGUGAAAUCCCCAGGCUUAACCUGGGAACUGCAUUCGAGACUGCAUUGCUAGAGUAUGGGAGAGGGAAGUGGAAUUUCCGGUGUAGCGGUGAAAUGCGUAGAUAUCGGAAGGAACAUCAGUGGCGAAAGCGACUUCCUGGACCAAUACUGACGCUCAUGUGCGAAAGCGUGGGGAGCAAACAGG